GCUUGUCUCAAAGAUUAAGCCAUGCAUGUCUAAGUAUAAGCCUUUGUACGGCGAAACUGCGAAUGGCUCAUUAAAACAGUUAUAGUUUAUUCGAUAAUCAAUUGCUACAUGGAUAACUGUAGUAAUUCUAGAGCUAAUACAUGCGUCAGAACCCAACUUUACGGAAGGGUCGUGUUUAUUAGAUACAAAACCAACAUCUCGUUGGUGAUUCAUAAUAACCAAGCGAAUCGUCGGUUUACCGACGAUAGAUCGUUCAAGUUUCUGCCCUAUCAGCUUUCGAUGGUAGUGUAUUGGACUACCAUGGCAGUCACGGGUAACGGAGAAUUAGGGUUCGGUUCCGGAGAGGGAGCCUGAGAAACGGCUACCACAUCCAAGGAAGGCAGCAGG
rnacentral:rRNA from 1 species